AUUGAAUGCUUAUUAGUUGCUCUGAUUAAUUUGAGUAAGUUGUGUUUGACUCUUUGCCUUUACUUUAUUCAAGACUAGUCUAUGUUAAAUUCUCGGAGUAGUAAUCUCAGUACAUAGCAUGGUUAGUGCAUGAACUGAGCCAGGGAUGAUCUUGGAGUUGAGAUUGGGUAGGGAGUGAAGUGUAGUUUUGAAAUGCAUCAAAAUACCAAAGCAGGAAAAAUUGGACAUGGAAGUAGGGAUGAUCAAAACAUAAUAGAAAUUAGGAACUAAGUAAAGAUAAGACAGACACUGACACCAAGAGCUCAGAAAAAUUAAGAGGCUGAAAUCAGGCAUGAAAUCAGGAAGCAGGAGGAAACCCAAACCACAGGGCUAGACAGGACAGAUGGUCAAAGCCUGAGCAUACAACCAGGAGCUGAAGGGACCAGCUUGGCCGUCAGUUGCAAGGGUGUGAGGCAGAAGCAACACAAAAGAUCUUGAUAUGAAGCAAUUAUUUUUGGUCUUAAACUGCUGGGACUCCAGAUGACCCAGACCACGGUCAGCAGGCAGAAGCCAGGUAUUUUAUUCUUUUAGAUGCUAUUGUCAACAGAAUUGCCUUCAAGAUUCCUUUUCUGAUUGUUCAUUGCUGAGACAUGGUCUUGCUCUGUCACCUAGGCCGUAAUACAGUGGCGUGAUCCUAGCUCACAGCAGCCUCCAACUCCUGGGCUCAAGAGAUCCUCCUGCCUCAGCCUUCUGACUAGCUGGGACUACAGGAAUGUGCUACCACACCCAGCUAAUUUUUUAAUUUUUUGCAGAGAUGACAUCUCACUAUAUUGCCCAGGCUGGUCUUGAACUUCUAGCCUCAAGCAAUCCUCCCACCUCAGCCUCUGAACGUACUGGAAUUACAGAUGGAGCAACUGAGAUUCUUCCCCAACUAGACUAUAAGUUCUCUGAGGGAUAAGGAACAUGUCUGGUUUCCUCAUCUCUCUGUCACAGCACCCUGUGAAUGCCUAGAAGACAGUAAGAAUCAACUGAAUGUUUGUAGAAAGAAUAACGAUACUUACCUAUAGUCUAAAGGUUUAGUGAUGAAAUGAAGUCCACUAACUUCUCUCUGCUUACUUCCACCCUCAAUAACAUAUUUCCUCAAACCCCACAGAGGAAAGACAAUUCAUUUUUUACUAUUGUUUAAUAGAGCCAUGUUUGUAUGUAGCUUCCUGUUCCGCUUAGCCCAAGACAUUAAGUGGGUCAGGAGUAAACUCUGCCCUCUGUUUUUUUCCAUUCCUUUGUCACCUGCUCAAGUGGCAGCCCAGAGCCGCUUGGCGGCUUCCCUGAAGAUGAGCAGAGUGCAGUAGAUUAGGCAUGGCCUUUCUAUCUAUUUCUACUAUGGAGAAGCUGAAAAAGCUAUAUGGCUGGAAAAAAAUCACCUUGGUACUAAUUUGCUAUUUUACAAUAUUUGAAAAUAAAGACCUGUGGUCUUCCUAUGUAUUUCUUUUUAAACAAUGAGGGGUAUGGAACAUCUAUGAAUAAACAUCAAGGUCUUCAAGUGAAUUUUCAGGUUGUGAAGUAUGUGAUUUGUUACUACUAGGGAGAGAUGUUUCCUAACCAUAAAAAUGAAUGUGACUUUUUUUUUUUAAAGGAUGCAACUAAAUUAUAAAAGACAAUCAUUUCACUGGUGGGAAUAGAAUUCACUUAUUCUGAGUCAUGCCUAUUGCAUUACAUUUUGUUUAGCAUAAUUAAUGGUGAAUCUGAGUUGUCCCACAGAAGUAAACCCUAAUUCUCCUCUCCCUACUUCUACCUCUCUCAUUUUAAAGUCUUCAAUUAGUUUUUCCCAAAUGUUUCCAGUCUUAAGAUUUACGGAAUUUGAAGCCUUUCCCAAAGAUCCAAUCUUCCAGAUAAAAGGAAAAUAUAAUAUAGCAUUCCAAUAAAAAUAAGAUAUUCUGGGGUUUCCAUUUUUAAUUAUACCAAUUUUUAAUGUUCAUUAAAUAUAUUUCCCUCUGCCAA
rnacentral:lncRNA from 1 species